rfam:Picea glauca, whole genome shotgun sequence.
GUAACGGUGUCUUUAGACACCACAUUUUCAUUCUUUGAAAUUUUAU